CAAUAAGGGUUGAAGGAACCAGAAAGUAAGGCAUUAGUUGUAUCUUCUGAGCAGUCUUUCCCACGCAUGGCUGGAGAUCAAGUUAUAGUUGAGCUGCAGACAGUGUCCAGUACCAAGUGUUCUGUCAUUAACUUGGACUAUACAUGCUCUACACAAAAAGACACAAAGAUAAUUAUCAUUGUCCUUAUGUAAUGUAGAAGAUUGUUCCACAUAAAGUUUGCAGAAGCUAGAGGCAGGAGGAGAAGAUGGCGGCACGACACAGCUCACAGCGGCCACUCCGGUGGUGAUGUCUGUUAUUUGUCAAGUAGCGUGCACAAUCCUGAUUUGAUGGAGACAGAUGUGAGAGCACGGAGGAACAUCUGGUGAAACUUCUGAAAUGCCUGCUUCACUGCUGCUGCUACUGUGUGAUCCAGAAUCUCCGGAGGGGAAGGCCCCGAGUCCUCGGCUUUGCUUGUUGCUCAGCGGCCGCGGCGGGGUUGGGUUGAAGUGCUCGGCAGAGGCUGGUGCUCGGUGCUCGGUGUCGGAGGGCCGGUUGGAUGCUCGAAGUUUUUGGACGGACUCAGAGUCCGCUGCGGUCGGGUGCUUUCAAUGGUGUGGCAUCGGCAAGUUUGCGGAGCUUGGAGGUUCAUGGCAGGGAGAGUUUCUCCCUUCUACUGUCUGCGUGAGAUGAUGGGGCUAUCAGGACUUUGAGACUUUUUUUUACCAUGCCCAUUGUCUGCUCUUUAUCAAAUUAUGGUAUUGCUUUGCACUGUUGUAACUAUAUGUUAUAAUUAUGUGGUUUUGUCAGUUUUAGUCUUGGUUUGUCCUGCGUUUCUUGUA